CCCUUCUGGAUGUGACAGUACCGAUUUUUACCCUUGACUUCUGCAACAACCCUGCCUUCCCUCCCUGCUCUCAGAACACUCCUCCUGCACAGCAUCUUCUGCUCCUCCAUCCUGCAGGAGCUGUGUACACUUGGACUGAGGAUCAAUCACCAUAAUAGCUGUUGUCUUCAAGGUUUAUUAAUGCAUUCCAACUGAAUUCCUGUUUUCCUGCUAAUAACCCUUCCAGUGAAACACUUUUGUGGAUACACAAUUAUUCAUGUGGCAAACUUGCCACUCGAAUGCUGGUAGGUAAUUAGUAAGCUUUGCAUCCAACCAGAAGCAAGUCAUUUUUAAUUUCUGCAAUAGGCUUGAAGCUGGGAUUAUUGCAUUGCAGGAUUUUUACUUAAAGCAACACUCUGGAAGGAGGAACAGCUGCUGUCUGUUGAGGGAAUGAGGGGGGCACAGGUGCUCCCCAUAGAGAUUCAUUUGGUCCCACAGUUCAUAUUAGUAGGCUGGUCUCUCUGCUUGUGUUUGCAGAGCUGUAACUGGAAGUACCAGAGGUCUGAAGUGAAGAAGGUGAAGAGAGGCGGGGUUGGUGUGCUGGCCUUUCCCCAUUAAGGAGAAUUACAGGAAGCCAGUGCCUCUCUCAAAUGCAGCAUUGCUGUGGCCAACAUAUCCUUCUUCCAGACAACUGAAUAUGGAAAAGAAUACGAAAGCAGAGACAGUCAGUCACCCCGGAUGGUUGUCAGCAUCCGGAUGGAUGAAUGCAGAACUUAAGAGCGGCCAUCUUCAUCCAGUCACCUGUGUGCCUGACUCAGAGAAGCGGCUUCUACCUGAGAAAUGAACAAACAGAGCCUUCAAAAACUCUUGUGAGUUUCUAUGUGUGUUUUAGCAGAAAACCAAGAAUUUUUAUACUUGGGUUAGUCGGUUAUUCUUGC
rnacentral:lncRNA from 1 species